UACGGAGGGUGCAAGCGUUGUUCGGAAUCACUGGGCGUAAAGCGCGUGUAGGCGGCCUUUUAAGUCCGAUGUGAAAGCCCGGGGCUCACCCCCGGAAGUGCAUUGGAUACUGAAGGGCUGGAGUACCGGAGAGGAGGGUGGAAUUCCUGGUGUAGCGGUGAAAUGCGUAGAUAUCAGGAGGAACACCGGUGGCGAAGGCGGAUCUCUGGGCCUGUUCUGACGCUGAGGCGCGAAAGCUAGGGGAGCGAACAGG
rnacentral:rRNA from 1 species